UGCCUGAGCAGGAUGAAGCCAGAGGAAACUCUGGUGGAAGUCCGUAUCGGUUCUGACGUGCAAAUCGAUCGAUAGACUUGGGUAUAGGGGCGAAAGACUAAUCGAACCAUCUAGUAGCUGGUUCCUUCCGAAGUUUCCCUCAGGAUAGCUGGAACUCUUGCAGUUAUAUUCGGUAAAGCUAAUGAUUAGAGGCCUUGGGGACGUAAUGUCCUCAACCUAUUCUCAAACUUUCAAUGGAUAUGGCGUCGCAGUUUCUUUAGUGAACUGCGGCGUGAAUGCGAGUUCCAAGUGGGCCAUUUUUGGUAAGCAGAACUGGCGCUGUGGGAUGAACCAAACGUGGAGUUAAGGUGCCUAACUUCUCGCUUAUGAGACCCCAUAAAAGGUGUUGGUUGAUAUUGACAGCAGGACGGUGGCCAUGGAAGUCGGUACCCGCUAAGGAGUGUGUAACAACUCACCUGCCGAAUCAACUAGCCCUGAAAAUGGAUGGCGCUUAAGCGAGAGACCUAUACUCCGCCGUCGCGGCAUGUGCGUUGUCUAGCGCCAGGUCGCGACGAGUAGGAAGGACGUGGCGGUUGCGUUGAAGGCUAUGAGCGUAGGCUCGGCUGGAGCUUCCGUCAGUGCAGAUCGUAAUGGUAGUAGCAAAUAUUCAAGUUCGAUCCUUGAAGACUGAAGUGGAGAAGGGUUCCACGUGAACAGUAGUUGGAUGUGGGUCAGUCGAUCCUAAGGUACUGGCGAAAGCCUUGUAUCAUCGGUGGCGAAAAGCUUGCUUUUUGUCCCCGCCCGUCGAAAGGGAAUAGGGUUAAUAUUCUCUAACUGAGAUGCAAAGAUUGUGUUCUUCGGAGCACAAGCGCGGUAACGCGUUCGAACUUGGUAAGUCGCUCAGAGACCGAGCUAGAGUUUUCUUCUCUAGUUAAGGAACGGACUCCCUGGAAUUGGUUCAGCCAGAGAUGGGGACGUUGUUUCCGAAAAGCACCGCGGUUUCUGUGGUGUCUCGUGCUCUCUGAACGGCCCUUUAAACACCAAGGGAGGCUAUUAAUUUGCACUCAAUCGUACCGAUAUCCGCAUUAGGUCUCCAAGGUGAACAGCCUCUAGUCGAUAGAAUAAUGUAGGUAAGGGAAGUCGGCAAACUAGAUCCGUAACUUCGGGAAAAGGAUUGGCUCCAGUGGUCGGAACGGUUGGCCAGUUGGUUGAUGCUUGUCCGGCGCUGUUCUGUCUGCUUGAUGCUUUCGGGCUGAUGGCGGCCUAGUGAUAGUGCUUGCUUGUUGACGCUUUCUGGUGUGUGCUUUGACCUCGGUCUUAGU
rnacentral:ncRNA from 1 species